rnacentral:lncRNA from 1 species
AAGUAGUUCAGUUUGGCCUUGAACUUGCAACAAUCCUCAUGCCUCAGCCUCCUAAGUGCUGCAAUUACAGGACCAAGAACAUGUUGAACAUGUUUGAGGAGGUUCAUGUUGUCUUGAUGCUGCUCAAAAGUAAACAGUGAAAAGCUGGUGCUUAAGGCACAUGACAGUUUUCUGUGAAAUUGACUUGUAUCCAUCUUUUGAAGAACUUUCUCAGAGCUGGCCUUGGUAGUGCAUAUCUAUCAUUUUUGCACCCUGGAAGACUGAGGCAGGAGGAUUACGAGUUUGAUCACGAGAGACUUAGCAAGACUCUGUCUCUCAGUGUGAAGGUGCCAGAUUCAAUCUACAACACUGUCAAAAACAAAAACAGAAACAGAAACAACUUGAACUUGUUCAUGAACUUUUUCUGUGCAACUUUCCAUGAGUUUAACACCUUUUCCCAUCCUCCACACCCCUUCCUUCAGAUCACUUGUACAUACCUCUGUCAGAACCUCAUCAUGAUGCAAUUGCAAACACUUGCAUUAUGUGAGUUUGCUUAAAGUUUGGAAUCAUACGUGUUUUAUUUACACUUUUUGUUAAUCUAUGUGAGCUGUGUGUGUGGAAUAGACUGGUUGACACUGAUACUAGUUAUUCUUUUAUUACCACAUGGCCCUCAUUUUCUAGAGCUUGGGAUACCCCCUGUUUUUGUUUACUCUGUUGCAAGAUUCUUGCAUGGAUAUUUUGGCUUUGAAUAAAGUCUGGAAAGAGCUCUUCUACUACAGGGGAGCAGAGUAGACAGAGGAUAGUAUGUGUUUAAUACAUCUUAAAAGAAUGAGUAGGUGCAUGAGGGGACAGGUACACCUGCGAAUGAAAGUAGGAAGGAAAAAAUGGCAGAUUUAAUAGUUUUUAUGGAAAUGACAGCUUGGACAUUAAUUUUUAAGAUCUUGUAGUGCACAUCAAAUGUACAGUAGUUGAAAAAGUGUUCAUUCAUGAAGUAUAGGGAAUUCUUAAGGGUUUCAACUCAAGAUAUUGAUUCCUUUCAAAGGCUUAUGGGC